UACGGAGGGGGGCUAGCGUUGUUCGGAAUUACUGGGCGUAAAGCGCACGUAGGCGGCUUUGUAAGUUAGAGGUGAAAGCCCGGGGCUCAACCCCGGAAUUGCCUUUAAGACUGCAUCGCUAGAAUUGUGGAGAGGUGAGUGGAAUUCCGAGUGUAGAGGUGAAAUUCGUAGAUAUUCGCAGGAACACCAGUGGCGAAGGCGGCUCACUGGCCCGAUACUGACGCUGAGGCACGAAAGCGUGGGGAGCAAACAGG
rnacentral:rRNA from 1 species